GGCGGGGUAGCUCAGUUGGUUAGAGCACACGGCUCAUAAUCGUGGUGUCGCGGGUUCAAGUCCCGCCCUCGCUA
rfam:Curtobacterium luteum strain NS184 contig_52, whole genome shotgun sequence.